GAUGAACGCUGGCGGCGUGCCUAAUACAUGCAAGUCGAGCGGUAAGGCUUCUUCGGAAGUACACGAGCGGCGGACGGCUGAGUAAUGCAUAGGAACGUACCCCAAACUGAGGGAUAAGCCACCGAAAGGUGGUCUAAUACCGCAUGUGCUCUUCGGAGUAAAGCUACGGCGGUUUGGGAGCGGCCUAUGUUCGAUUAGCUUGUUGGUGAGGUAAUGGCUCACCAAGGCGACGAUCGAUAGCGGGUCUGAGAGGAUGAUCCGCCAGACUGGAACUGAGACACGGUCCAGACUCCUACGGGAGGCAGCAGUAGGGAAUUUUCCACAAUGGGGGCAACCCUGAUGGAGCAACGCCGCGUGCAGGAUGAAGGCCUUCGGGUUGUAAACUGCUUUUCUCUGUGAUGAUUAUGACAGUAGCAGAGGAAUAAGGAUCGGCUAACUCCGUGCCAGCCGCCGCAGUAA
rnacentral:rRNA from 1 species